GACGAACGCUGGCGGCGUGCUUAACACAUGCAAGUCGAACGGAAAGGCCCUGCUUUUGUGGGGUGCUCGCGUGGCGAACGGGUGAGUAACCCGUGAGUAACCUGCCCUUGACUUUGGGAUAACUUCAGGAAACUGGUGCUAAUACAGGAUAGGAGCUCCUGCUGCAUGGUGGGGGUUGGACAGUUUCGGCGGUUGGGGAUGGACUUAGGGCUUAUUAGCUUGUUGGUGGGGUAGAGGCUUACCCAGGCGUUGAUGGGUAGCUGGCCUGAGAGGAUGAUCAGUCACACUGGAACUGAGAGACGGUCGAGAAUCAUACGGGAGGCAGCAGUGGGGAAUAUUGGACAAUGGGCGAAAGCCUGAUCCAGCGAUGCCGCGUGUGUGAAGAAGGUCUUCGGAUUGUAAAGCACUUUAAGUUGGGAGGAAGGGCAGUAAGUUAAUACCUUGCUGUUUUGACGUUACCAAAAGAAUAAGCACCGGCUAACUUCGUG
rnacentral:rRNA from 1 species